CCAAUAGCGUAUAUUAAAGUUGUUGCAGUUAAAAAGCUCGUAGUUGAAUUUCGGGGUUCAUCCGUUGGUCGGGCUUUUUUGGUCUGUACUGGCGUGAUGGAUUCCUACCUUCUGAAUAACCAGCAUGUCAUUAAUUUGGUGCGCUGGGGAAGCAGGACUGUUACCUUGAAAAAAUUAGAGUGCUUAAAGCAGGCUAUCGCCUGAAUACAUUAGCAUGGAAUAAUGAAAUAGGACGGCAUGGUUCUAUUUUGUUGGUUUCUAGGAUCACCGUAAUGAUUAAUAGGGAUAGUUGGGGGCAUUAGUAUUCAAUUGUCAGAGGUGAAAUUCUUGGAUUUAUUGAAGACUAACUUCUGCGAAAGCAUUUGCCAAGGAUGUUUUCAUUAAUCAAGAACGAAAGUUAGGGGAUCGAAGACGAUCAGAUACCGUCGUAGUCUUAACCAUAAACUAUGCCGACUAGGGAUCGGACGAUGUUAAUUUUUUAAUGACUCGUUCGGCGCCUUACA
rnacentral:rRNA from 1 species